AUGGCGCUGUCGCUGCCGGCGACUGGACCAGCAACAAGCCGCCACUCCAGUAGGACCACGCGUCCCCGCUCCACCGCUCCAAUUUCCCUAUUCAUCUCAUUGCUCCCUCCCAUCUCAAAUCUCUCCCUUUUCUACAGCAACAUGAGGAGGCCAUGGGAGCUGCCCUUCUGCACCUCGCCACCAUCCCCCUGCCCGCCGGAGCCAUGCCUCCCUGUGAGCCGCGGCCAUGGCGACAGUCUUCUUCCACGCAGCGCCCGCCUUGUCCCGUUCAUCAUCAUCGCCGGGAGCUCCAAGCCGCUCCCAAGCUCUGCUCCAUCCCAUCGCCUUUGCGCCAAUUUCCCUUGCUCGGACCUGCAAGCCUCUCUCGUUCCCUCGCAGCAGAGAAGGCCAUGGAUGGCCCCAAGGAUCAUGUCAUCGCUCUAUUCAGACGGGAACCAGCCUCCCCAACCGGCGCCCUACCCGCGCCUCCUGAGGAGCUCAUCGUCGCCCCGUUCCCUGCUUCCCGGAGUUCUUCACCGCGAGGCCUUCUUCAAGCCAUGUCGUGCCAAGCUUCAAGUUCCCCCGCCACUUCUUUCGUCGGAACCGGACGGGACCAACCGGAUCUGCUCUUCCCCGCCUCGAUCCGCCGCUUCCUUGCCGGAGUUCACGCCAAGUCCGGCCGCCGCCCAGCCUCUGCAUCGUGUGCUGCCUCCCCUGUUUCUGCAUGUGAACGAGGACGAAGAUGCGCACCUCCUACCUGCGUUGACCGAGGCCGCGCCAGGUCAGAUCUCGCCAGCGUCCUCGCGCCUGUGGGCCACUCCAAGGCCCAGCCGCGGCCUGCCAGCUCCUCCUCUAACCGGCCCAUGCGGCCUGGUUUUGAGAUUGCUGAGUCCUCAUGACUCACAGAUACUACCAAAACAGUUGAAGGUGCCGAUGAUACCAGCGCAGGUGAUGCUACCGAACUCAAGUGGGAGUUCGACGAGGACGUUGGUCGUUACUAUGUUUCGUUCCCUGAUGAUCAGUAGUGGAGCCCAGUCGGGACGAUCUGGGAUCUAG
rnacentral:rRNA from 1 species